GUGCUCGCUCCAUCAGCACAUACACUAAAAUUGGAAUGAUACAGAGAAGAUUAGCAUGGUCCCUGUGUGAAGAUGACAUGCAAAUUCCUGAAGCGUUCCAUAUUUUU
ensembl:snRNA U6 U6 spliceosomal RNA